GCUAUACUGCAGUCGAGCGACAGAUAAGGAGCUUGCUCCUUUGACGUUAGCGGCGGACGGGUGAGUAACACGUGGGUAACCUACCUAUAAGACUGGGAUAACUUCGGGAAACCGGAGCUAAUACCGGAUAACAUUUGGAACCGCAUGGUUCUAAAGUGAAAGAUGGUUUUGCUAUCACUUAUAGAUGGACCCGCGCCGUAUUAGCUAGUUGGUAAGGUAACGGCUUACCAAGGCGACGAUACGUAGCCGACCUGAGAGGGUGAUCGGCCACACUGGAACUGAGACACGGUCCAGACUCCUACGGGAGGCAGCAGUAGGGAAUCUUCCGCAAUGGGCGAAAGCCUGACGGAGCAACGCCGCGUGAGUGAUGAAGGGUUUCGGCUCGUAAAACUCUGUUAUUAGGGAAGAACAAACGUGUAAGUAACUGUGCACGUCUUGACGGUACCUAAUCAGAAAGCCACGGCUAACUACGUGCCAGCAGCCGCGG
rnacentral:rRNA from 1 species